rnacentral:rRNA from 1 species
GAUGAACGCUGGCGGCGUGCCUAAUACAUGCAAGUCGAGCGAACGGACGAGAAGCUUGCUUCUCUGAUGUUAGCGGCGGACGGGUGAGUAACACGUGGAUAACCUACCUAUAAGACUGGGAUAACUUCGGGAAACCGGAGCUAAUACCGGAUAAUAUUUUGAACCGCAUGGUUCAAAAGUGAAAGACGGUCUUGCUGUCACUUAUAGAUGGAUCCGCGCUGCAUUAGCUAGUUGGUAAGGUAACGGCUUACCAAGGCAACGAUGCAUAGCCGACCUGAGAGGGUGAUCCGCCACACUGGAUCUGAGACACGGUCCAGACUCCUACGGGAGGCAGCAGUAGGGAAUCUUCCGCAAUGGGCGAAAGCCUGACGGAGCAACGCCGCGUGAGUGAUGAAGGUCUUCGGAUCGUAAAACUCUGUUAUUAGGGAAGAACAUAUGUGUAAGUAACUGUGCACAUCUUGACGGUACCUAAUCAGAAAGCCACGGCUAACUACGUG